UUAGUCUGGUGCUUCAUUGCACAGGUACUGAGCGUCCACUGCAGAUAUAUAGAAGGUUUCCUUUCUAAGUGACCCUUCAGUACCUUGGUUUCCGAAUUUUUGUACAAGUUAUCUCACCACAAGGCCACACUGAUUGUUCAUCAGAAAGCCUCGGUGUUAUAUUGAAGUUUCCAUCAUGCAUGUAUGAACAAGUUUUGUCGCAUUAUACUGUUUGUAUAAACUACUGUACUUCUCAGCUGCUUGAGAUAAUGAAGACAAGGGAUCAGGAGUAGAUCCAAUCAUCAAACCGGAACAAGGCAACACCUUUAUGGCACGUGACCAAGGCGAUACCUCUGGAAACUAUUUUGCAGACCAAGGCUCAUCCACAGAUAAUCAUGGAGACCAAGACCAAUUUGCUGCAUAUUUUCAUGAUAACCAAGGCCAAUUUUCUGGAUCUCCAGUAUAGGAACAAGGGGGUUUAGGGAUAUAGAGGGAAGAUUGGUUCUGGGGAGUAUUUGUUUAAAAAUUUAACAAUUUGGUUUUGAAUAACCUGGAAUUACAGUAUAGGACUAAUAGGGUCUGGGGAUAUAAAGGGAAGAAGGAUUCUGGGGGGUUGGAGACUAUUUGUAUAACAAUGUAACAGUUUGUUUUCUAAUAAAGAAAGAAACCUACACUUAUCUGCAUAAGGUUUAUUUGUAACAAAGGGCCUGAUUUGAAGUUGGGAAUGCACUGCAGUUGGGGCAGAUGUAAAUUGUGCAGAAAGAUUUAGAUGUAACAAGGGGCAUGCCAAAACUCAGAUUUAAAUUACAGUGUAAUAAUAUAGCUGCCCAACACUUGUGGACUACACACAUAAGCAGCCAGUAUUUACAUAUUACCUAGCAAGCUGCAAAAAAAUCAGGGUACUACUGUGGUAUUUGUCAGUGAAUUUAUACACCCCCAACCUGCUGCAAAAUAAUCUUGUUCAAACUUAUUUCUUACUUCUGAUGAAGCUAGGUGACCGUGCCUAGGGAAACGCGUUAAGUGACAAGCUGCCACCAACAUAUGCAUUCCAUCCUGUGAGGAUCCAGAUAUGGACUUUUAACACGAAUAUUCCUGCCUUGGAAAUUUCUCUGUGGGACUGCAUCAUUACAGCACUAAUUGGAGUUAAUCAGCCUCUGCAUAAAACAUCUCAGCUUGCCUGCUGUUAUUUUCCAAGCUCUUGGAGGACUCCAUCACCAUGGGUAACACCAGCUGUAUUUAAACAACACUAUUCCCCAGGGAACUUUAUUUCUCAGUCCGGGAUCACAUGUGGAUGCAUACUAGCAGCUAUUCUUAUUUUGAUCCUCAGCUUCAAUCUAUGCCCAAUCUUAUUUGUUUUUAAGUGACAUUUUAACUGUUUAGUGAAUAAAUUAUUUACUUGUUUCAAUUCA